UACGUAGGGGCUAGCGUUGUCCGGAUUUAUUGGGCGUAAAGAGCGUGUAGGCGGCCAGGUAGGUCUGCUGUGAAAACUCGGGGCUUAACCCCGAGCCUGCAGUGGAUACGGGCAGACUAGAGGUAGGUAGGGGAGAAUGGAAUUCCCGGUGUAGCGGUGAAAUGCGCAGAUAUCGGGAGGAACACCGGUGGCGAAGGCGGUUCUCUGGGCCUUACCUGACGCUGAGGAGCGAAAGCGUGGGGGAGCGAACAGG
rnacentral:rRNA from 1 species